AAAACAUUGCUAUUUGACCUCACACAUAAAUAGUAUAUCCUGCCCAGUGAAAAAUUUUUUUAACGGCCGCGGUAUCCUAACCGUGCAAAGGUAGCAUAAUCACUUGCCUAUUAAUUGUAGGCUAGAAUGAAGGGGCUAACGAGAUUACAACUGUAUCUAGUGAACAAAUAUAAAUUAACAUAAAAGUGAAGAGGCUUUUAUAUUAUCGCAGGACAAGAAGACCCUAUAGAGCUUUAUUUACACGCAAGACCUUAAAUAACAAUCUUACAAAAAAUUCGGUUGGGGCGACCCGGGUAUAUAAAUCAACCCUAAUUAAAAAGACUUACAAGUCUAAUAAAUAGAUCCAAUAUCCAAUUGAUCAAAGAAUCAAGCUACCUUAGGGAUAACAGGCUAAUUUUCUUUAAGAGUUCAUAUCUACAAGAAAGAUUGGCACCUCGAUGUUGGCUUAGAAGUAUCUUCAUAGUGCAGAAGCUAUGCAAGAUGGUUUGUUCAACCAUUAAAUUUCU
rnacentral:rRNA from 1 species